GAUGCAGACUAGGCGUAGGUGGACUUGACCCCAUCUGUGCCGGAGCUAACGCGGUAAGUCUGCCGCCUGGGGAGUACGGCCGCAAGGCUAAAACUCAAAGGAAUUGACGGGGGCCCGCACAAGCGGCGGAGCGUGCGGUUUAAUUCGACGCAACGCGCAGAACCUUACCAGGGUUUGACAUGCUCCUGCAGAGCCGGGAAACCGGUUGGCCUUCGAGGGUGGAGCACAGGUGCUGCAUGGCUGUCGUCAG
rnacentral:rRNA from 1 species